rnacentral:lncRNA from 1 species
AGGGAAGGGCAGCGGUCUCCGAAAUGUGCCCAAGGCCUGGUCUCUACUCCGGGGCGACGCCCGCGCACCGAUGCAUGCGGUGUGUGGUGCGGAACAGAAGAACAUCUACCUACACGCGUGUCCUGACCGUUUGAGCACGUCUCCUUCCUAAGCGAUCACACAGAGACCAGUUUGCCAGGAGCUGACACUACUACAAAUUCUUCCUCUUUCAGACCAGGGUGGAACUCAGGCUUCACACGUUUGAGGGAUGGCUGUGCCAGGUAAAACUGACUAAUCUCAACCUAUCUUUUGAGCACCAUUACCUGCCAAAGGGUCAUAGAAGAGAAUGAACAGGGAGCUCUCUCCUGGCAUCACCCUAUACCUUUCCAAAAAUGGAGACUUGGGUCUGAGGUAUAUUGACACCCCAAACUCUUGUUAACAGGUUGCUGCUUGCUACAAUUUACAUCAAUGAAGAAUGGAUCCCUCUGGACUGAGAAGGCUCAGGAAGCUUACAGUACGUGCUUGGAAUUUCUCAUGCUGAAGACUGAAUCUACUCUACAGGCGGCAAACACAACAUACAAAAGACAAGGAUGACAUCCAAAACUCUAUGACAACAAAUUAUUUCACAGGCUCUAAGCAAUUAAAAACAUUGCUAAGGCAGCCAGCAAGAGUGGCUCUGAGGGUCAAGGUCCUUGGGGCCAAGCUUGAGGACCUCAGUCAGAUCCCAAACCUCACUACAGAAAAGAGAACUGGCUUGUGCAAGUUGUCCUUUGACCUCCGCACAAGUCAGGUAUGCUCCAGCAUGCACCCCAUCACAAAUAAGUAUAAAAAAGUUUAGAAUAUUUCUAAAGGAAAAAUGGCUCUGAGCCACAUGAGCACUACAUUUGUCUCACAUCAAGGAGCAAAGGAUUUACAUUUGUGCAUUUCUCUGAAGAACUAUAAAUAAAUACCCAUCUCAACAACAAGUGCACAGUAGGGAAGAGUGGGGUUGUCUGCAACUUACAUUGAAUUUUAGAGAAUGAGUUCAUGGUGAACAAGAGGACAGACAGAUGAAGGCAGGCAGAAUUAACAUGUCAGUGAAAAAAUAUAACAGGGAAUACACAGCAUUCGCUGUAUGAUCUUACAAAUUUUCUGAUGUUCAAAAUUCUGGUAAUAAAACUGAAGGGAAAAAUCCUGAAAAGAUUUCUAAACUGUUCAUAUUUUGGAGAGCUGGUCAAUGAAUAAUAUAUACUUUUUUAAAAAGCCAAUUCUCUUUAACAUUUGCAUAUGUUUGGAUAUUUUCACAAUAAAAGAAAUUUUGAAGUU